CUCGUUUCUCUUCAUUCCUUAUCAUCUCUUUUCUUCUCUUUCUCUCUCUCUAGGCUAGUGAAAGCUGAUGGACUUGAGUUGUUCCUUGUGUUGAGCUGAGAAUAGGGAAUUAAUUGGAGAGAUCUUUAGAUUAAGGAGCUGUGAGAGAGGGAAUUAGUGAAGAAACAAGUGCAAAUCUGAAAAUUGAGCUGAAUUCCUGUUGUUGGAGCAGCAAGCUUGUGGUGUUGGUGAUGUUGGUGCUGAGAUCAAUGGGAUAAGGUCUCUAAUUAAGGAAUGGGCCAUUUGAUCCAGGGAGCAAGUAAAUUCAGCAUCUGGCUAAGUGGCAGAAGUGAAGUGGAGGCUUGUUAGUGCUGCCGAGUUCGUGAAACCAGCUGAGAAAGCUUGGAAUUUGAGGUA